rnacentral:sRNA from 1 species
UUUACGAAGAUAUCCACCUUAUUUCCCCAGUCCAGUUCGACCUCCUCCAGGGUCUAUCAUCGUUCCCUCUGGCCGUGUCCUCUCGCAGAGGUCACCCUCCUCUGAUUUAGACGACCCCUUUCCUUUUACAGGAACGUGCUUCGCCACUCUCGUGCUACAUAUUAAUUCCUUCUGCCACUUCUUUCCAAGCAUUACUGACACCUUAUAACUGUCUCCGAUAUACCUGCCAUUCGAGAGAAUGAUAGUUGGGGGCCCGCCUUAAUUCCUUACGAGUUUUUCAGGACAAGUUAGAUCAGCGCUUCUUCGACCACAGCGGGAGAAAGAGGGAAAGAAACCUGGGGCUGGGCUUACUGUGGUUCUUCGCUCCGGAGCUCGUAGUCCAAGAGCUGCGGCACACCUUGAUAGAGAUAGGGUAUUUGAUUCGCCUAUUCUAUUCAAUAUGAUGAAAGAUCCCCUGGCACUCCUUCAAAACACCUUAACUCGACUUCGUUAGGCUUACACCUCUUGUUGCCGAAUCCAAUACUACUUCGAUGAACCGGAUACCAAAAAUACCCAGCAACUAUCUCGACACGGUCCCAACGAGCCCACAAAAGGAUUUCCAGAAAGCGAUUUUCACCUAUAGUACCCAGGAAAAUAUAUAUGCCCAACAGAACGGCGAUGAAAGUGUUGAUGUUUUGGCUAUUGAGGAGCUGGACAUCGAUUUUCCUGUUGGAAAUCUGACAAUCAUCUGCGGUCCUGUUGGCUCAGGCAACAACUAUUUUGCUGAACUUGCUUGGAGAAGCUCAGUUGUACGAAGGAAGGGUGUUUAUGACCUAUGAUUACGCCAAUCGGUCUCUUUGUCCGAUUGAUAAGGAUUCGGGCCUGUCGGAUACAGUUGCUUACUAUGCACAGAAGCUCUGGCUUGUAGAGGCGUCUAUAAAGGAUAACAGUAUCUUCGGGUCAAUGUGAAACGCAAGGCGCUACAAACGUGUAGUCGAAGCUUGUGUGCUGAGAAUAGACUUCAAACAUUUACUAACGAAGUUCAAACGAAGGUUGGAGAAAAAGGUACUACUUGUUCAGGUGGUCAAAAAGGCUAGUAUUGCCUUACCUCGAGCUAUACACUCUCGGGCAAGGACUAUAUUGCUUGACCACAUCCUCACGUCCCCUCACAAUAUAUGUCCUGACUGCACAACACGUAUACGAGCAUUCCUUAAAGGGGAAUAUUCAAGGGCCUGUGCAAGCAGAAUGGUGAUGAAAGAGAAUUGUUUGAGCGUUCACAAGAGAAAAUAUGGUAUCGUUUAAAUGAAUGACCGACCCACAUGGCUUUCGUCUCAAGAUGAUAAUGACAGUGUCAUGGACUUUGUAGAGUCAUGUUUUACGUCAGUGUGGUACUGUAUGUCACAAAAAAAGACAGGAGAUCUUCAUACAACUGGGGAGGCAUACUAUAAUAAUUUAACAACCAAUACAGAUUAGACGUUGAUGUUACAUAUAUUUUAGAAGUCCGG